rnacentral:rRNA from 1 species
CCUACGGGUGGCAGCAGUCGAGAAUCAUUCACAAUGGGGGAAACCCUGAUGGUGCGACGCCGCGUGGGGGAAUGAAGGUCUUCGGAUUGUAAACCCCUGUCAUGUGGGAGAAAAUUAAAAAGAUAGUACCACAAGAGGAAGAGACGGCUAACUCUGUGCCAGCAGCCGCGGUAAUACAGAGGUCUCAAGCGUUGUUCGGAAUCACUGGGCGUAAAGCGUGCGUAGGCUGUUUCGUAAAUCGGGUGUGAAAGGCGAGGGCUCAACCCGCGGGCGGCACAUGAUACUGCGAGACUAGAGUAAUGGAGGGGGAACCGGAAUUCUCGGUGUAGCAGUGAAAUGCGUAGAUAUCGGGAGGAACACUCGUGGCGAAGGCGGGUUCCUGGACAUUAACUGACGCUGAGGCACGAAGGCCAGGGGAGCGAAAGGGAUUAGAUACCCGAGUAGUC